GGCUGUGUGAAAAAAGUGAGAUGUCAGAGGACCUUGCAUGAGGACUUAAAUGAACCACUUGGACUCCCUAUGUCCUGUUUUCUUUGCAGCCUGAAACACAAAUGAAGGUCUGUGACCAAAACCAACCACUUUUACUAUCAUCAUUUUGGAGUUUUGCUGUGUCCCAGAGAACAACAAACAAGUGGUGAAGAAGAAGAAGAGUGCUUCGAUCUGCUUGAGAUACUUUGUGGGAAACGUAUAUUACCAACAUUUGUCAGAACUGCUGCUACUGAAUGCACAACAUACCCCAGAGCAGCCUGUUGACCAAUGCAAAGCCUUAUUCCUUGAAAGUGUUUUGAACUCCUGUGUGACCAAGUUUCAUCUCCUCUGGAAAAACAAGGAACACAUCAAAGUAUAUGGAAAUCAAACACCCUGCCAGCCAGGCUGCAAGCAAGUGGACAUUGGCUGCUUCAUCAAGAGAUGAAAGAGCAGGUCAGAGAGCAUUAAACACUUCGGCUGAUUUCUGGCAUGAGGCAUCCAUGUGCCUGUUCCCACUAGCAGUGAUCUAAGUAAUUUUGAGGUAGCAUUAUCUUUUUUACAGCAGCUUAAUAUUAUCAGAUGUCAAAAGCACCAAAAGGCCUCAAUCAGACUGGAAAUUUAAGCUCAGAGCAGGCCAAUGUAUGAAUGCAGAGCAGAGA